rnacentral:rRNA from 1 species
GACGAACGCUGGCGGCGCGCUUAACACAUGCAAGUCGAACGGAAAGGCCUGCUUUCCCUUGUGGAUUGCGGGUACUCGAGUGGCGAACGGGUGAGUAACACGUGAGUGAUCUGCCCCCAACUUGGGUAUAAGACUGGGAAACUGGGUCUAAUUCCCGAUAGGACUGCAGGGUGGUGCCUGUGGUGGAAAACGAUUUUCUAGUGGUUGGGGAUGAGCUCGCGGCCUAUCAGCUUGUUGGUGGGGUAAUGGCCUACCAAGGCGGCGACGGGUAGCCGGCCUGAGAGGGUGGACGGCCACAUUGGGACUGAGAUACGGCCCAGACUCCUACGGGAGGCAGCAGUGGGGAAUAUUGCACAAUGGGCGGAAGCCUGAUGCAGCGACGCCGCGUGGGGGAUGACGGCCUUCGGGUUGUAAACUCCUUUCGACCGCGAGGAAGCCACCUGGUUGGAAGGGUGGUGACGGUAGUGGUAGAAGAAGCACCGGCUAACUACGUG